GCAAAUGAGCAGCCCCCCAAUCUGGCUAGAGCUGUCACAAAGGAGCCACUUUUCCAAACCCUCCUCUCAAUGGAUCGCCAAAUGGUCUUAUAUUUACAAGGCAGGAAAAAGAAAGCAACCACUUUGCAGAAGGUGAUUAUGAAAAGAGGAUGGGUUUGGAUGGGGCGGAUCCGUGCUUUUGGAAUUGCUCUCCCCUUUUCUGUGAGCAUCUGCCUGGAGAAGAACAGAUGUGGGCACCUGCGGUGACAGGCCGCAUAUGUUCCAUCCUAUUCACAGGCAUUCAGACGUGGCUACAAUGGUAAGCCUUUGUGUAUGCAGAGUCACUAAAUAUAUUAAUCUGUACUCCCUAGA